rnacentral:misc_RNA from 1 species
GAAGGUGUUGAUUGCACAGGAGAAGAUGAGCACAAAUCAUGUUUAUGUGUUCAAGAAAAGGCAGCCGAAUAAGUUUGCUUAUGUGGCUGAAGUUCGUUCGAUGGCGGAGUCACAGAAUAGGCCGGCGAGUGGUAUGUUUGUGCGCAUGCUUUCUCGUAGCGGAGCGAAAGGGGGUUCGUCGGGACAGUACAUUAGAGCUACACUUCCAUAUAUUCGAUCGGACAUUC